rnacentral:rRNA from 1 species
GAUGAACGCUAGCGGGAGGCCUAACACAUGCAAGCCGAGCGGUAGAGAUCUUUCGGGAUCUUGAGAGCGGCGUACGGGUGCGGAACACGUGUGCAACCUGCCUUUAUCAGGGGGAUAGCCUUUCGAAAGGAAGAUUAAUACCCCAUAAUAUAUUGAAUGGCAUCAUUUGAUAUUGAAAACUCCGGUGGAUAGAGAUGGGCACGCGCAAGAUUAGAUAGUUGGUAGGGUAACGGCCUACCAAGUCAGUGAUCUUUAGGGGGCCUGAGAGGGUGAUCCCCCACACUGGUACUGAGACACGGACCAGACUCCUACGGGAGGCAGCAGUGAGGAAUAUUGGACAAUGGGUGAUAGCCUGAUCCAGCCAUCCCGCGUGAAGGACGACGGCCCUAUGGGUUGUAAACUUCUUUUGUAUAGGGAUAAACCUUUCCACGUGUGGAAAGCUGAAGGUACUAUACGAAUAAGCACCGGCUAACUCCGUG